rnacentral:ncRNA from 1 species
GGCCUGGGAGAUCCUCUUUGGAUCGUCGGAGUUAACUCCGCCCGGGCCU